AUGGUCAUAUCAUGUUGAAAUACCAGUUCCUGUAUGAUCAGCAAAGUUAAUCAAUGUUGCGCCUGGUCAGUACCUAGAUUGGUGACCACUUGAGAAUGCCAGGUGCUGUAUG